rnacentral:lncRNA from 1 species
UUUCCUCUUUUUUGAUCAUUUCCCUAUUUCUUUUUCCCAAACCCCUCCCUCACUUUCACGAAAGAGAAGCUUUUCAGCUUCCAUUUUCUUCCACUUGAAAAAUUAAAAACCCUCACUUGAAGAAUAAAAAAACUGAAAGAGAUUCACAAAAUAUUUUUUGUAUGGUAAUUCCUUUCUUCGUGAUGAAAGAGAUGCAAUUUUUUUUCUUUCUUCCCCAUUCUUUGAUUUUGAGCGAUGUGAAUUGUGGGUUCAUGUCUAUGGUAAUUUCUCUUCCCCAUUAUUUGACUUUCCUUUUCUGUGUUUCUUUCUUCUUGCAUGAGGGUUUUAGGUUUAUUUCCUCUGUUAAUUUGUGUUGUUUCUUUACUGAUUUUUUCUCUAUUUUGUGGCUUUUCUGUUUUUUGAUUCUCUACUGAAAGUAACAGAAAUUUUGGUUGAAUCGGUGUAUUUUAAAGAAGGAUAUAACACUCUUUUGAAUUCAAGAUGUAAGUCCUCUUUCUCCUUCUACAUUAGGUAUUUUAGGUUGUAAAAUUUAGCUUUUUCAGUAUUUUUGUAGGUUAAUUUAUGCGAUUUUGGAUCUACUUAAUUGAAAUAUUUCCUCUUGCAUGUGUAUUUUAGAACUCCUGAGUACCUUCAGAGAAGACGCAAUUGUCACUAGCUGCUAUUCCUCUUUCUGCUCUGCAUAGUGUUCUAAAACAGGAAUCAAUCUCAAGGUACAAACAAAUUUUUAGUUUUCUUCGUAGUAUUGAAUAUUAUUUUCUUUCUUUCUAGGUUUGUAAUACAAAAUGUGCAGACAAUAGAUUAGGUUUCCUCAACAUCAAUUCCGCUUUCUUUCAAAAGGCUAAUGAAUCAAUAACAUAUUUCUAUUUUAUUUGUCAAGUGAUGAGGAAAUAUAUUAGAAGCUUCUAAUAUAUCCAUAAUAUGUUGAUAUUCUAUCGAAUUUCUAUCAGUUUGAGCUGCUCCAGGUAAAAUCUUUCAGCUACCUCAUUGAUUGGCACAUUGUUGCGUCAAAUAUUACAGGUAGGAAUAGAGAUUUCUCUUUUGUUUCUGCACAAUCUUGGGAGGAGACUCUCAUUUUACCUCACUUCUGAUCUGUGAUAUUUUUGUACUGGAUAACUUUAACUGUUGGUUGGAGCUAUUAUUUCAUUGUUGUAAAAAUUAUAAGGAACAAUAUAUGUAAUUAAACAAAUUCCUAUUUUCUUUCUCUGGCUUUGGGAAAUUCCAAUUUUGUCGUGUUAGAACUUAUCAAGGAAUUUGCUAUAGUAAUUUUUAUUUUGUACGCGUUCUGCUAUAAUCUAUGAAUUGAGUACCUUGCGAC